GUCAAAAGAAGAGUGGGAGAACUGGAAAUGGGAGAAGCUUUCCUUGACACUUUCAUCUUACCUUCAGAGUAAUGUUCCAAGAGGCAUAGCUGGAAGAUAUUUGGAGGUGUUCAAGAAUCCAGGAGCUCACAAAUUCCAGCAACAUAUGAAAAAAGAAGUCUUAGGGCAGUGAUGCUGGACUCAAAAGCUCAGCAAAGCUUUGUUUUGUUCCUAAUUUAGUUUUUUUCUCUCAUCACUUUCCUUCCACACUGCUCCCAGCUCAAGAAUCCAACAAAGACUCUGUUUUCCCUUUCUCUUUAUGUGGAUGACAAGAGAAUGAAGCUGCUUUUGAAUGCAUGCCUCAACAUUUUUAUGUGCUAUAAUUUGUACACUCACUAUAAAAGCCACUCAAAAUAGCUUCAGAUGCCACAGGUUACUCAUCUAUGCAAUGAAAUAGAAAAGGCUUAUAGUUUACUUUCUGAAAUAUUUCUUUAAUGUAGCUAGACUUUCAUGUCUCUUUUACAAGUUUUAAGUCUUGUUUAUUAGUAAUCAUUUAAAUAUUUGAAGGAAAUAAUUAUACAUUUUCAUACUUACUAGUUUUAUUAGUUAUAAAGAAAUUAGCAUAUGACAUCCAAGAUUAUAGCUUAAAAAUUAAUAUUUUGUAUUCCCUAAGGUUUUACCAUAUUUUAAAAAUAUAAUAUAAUUGCAUGAAAUUUCAUUUCACAUUUCAUAAAAUGCUGGCUUGUAUCUUAAUUUAUUUUAGGUCUGUGUAAACGUGCUAAUACAUCUGACUGGAAUAUAAUAAAGUGGUUAUUUCUAUGUCUGACUGAAAGUUAUAAAGUCCUUAGAACCAGAAGCUGAAUGCAGGAAACCCAUGGUUGUCAUGGUAGCCAUGAAAUCUUUAGAUGCUUCCGAUUGACCCUUCUCACCUCUUAAUUUGGCAAAUAAUAUCUUCCCAAGAAGAUUGGUCUUACAGAGCAGUAAAAAGAGCUUUUAAAUAAAAGUUUAAUGAAACCCAGUUUCGGCAACAAUGCUGUAUUAGUUCGUUCUCACACUGCUAUGAAGAAAUACUCAAGACUGCGUAAUUUAUAAAGAAAAGUUUAAUUGACUCACAGUUCUGCAUGGCUGGGGAGCCCUCAGGAAACUUACAAUCAUGGCAGAAGGCACGUCUUCACAGGGCAGCAGGAGAAAGAAUGAGUACCAGCAGGGGAAAUGCCAGAUGCUUACAAAACCGUCAGAUCUUGUGAGAACUCACUUACUAUCUGGAGAACACCAUGGGAGAAAAUGCCCCCAUGAUCUAAUUACCUUCACCUCGUCCUGCCCUUGACACAUGGGGCUUAUGAGGAUUACAAUUCAAGGGGAGAUCUGGAUGAGAACACAGAACCAAACCAUAUCAGAUGCCCCAAAACAAACUUUUGUGUACUUCUUGCUGAAGAAGUGAGUUGAUGUGGAUUCUUUGGAAACAAUUAAAAAAUGUCUGUUACUUAAUUGGCAUUGGUAAUAUGUUCACAGUAAUUGCAGUUUAGAAAUAUAUUUUAAGAUUUAGCUGCACCCCAGAAAAUGCCACCUAAAUUUAUAGUGCCAGAAAACAGAUCAUUGGUUGCCUAGGGAAGGGGAUAGGAAGAAGGGUGUCAAUUCAAAGGGACAACUUUUGGGGCUGGUAUAUACAUUCACUGUGUUGAUUUUCAUGAUGGUUUGAAGAGUGGCAAAAUCUAGAAAAUUCUAUGCUUCAUACGCAAUCAUUACAUUUCAAUUAUACCUCAAAUCUGUUGAUAGAGAUAUGUACAAAUAUAAAAAAAUUUUGUCAAAAGUCCCUUGCAUGAUCAUUUGAAAAAGGACCAACCUGUACGCAAUCUCCUACAUGCAUUGUAUCUACCAAAAAAUUGUUAACUAGAAAAUAUUCACAAACUACCCUUUAUUCAUAAGUUACUUUAAAAAACAGAAUAAAUAAAAGUAUGUACAAAACAA